rnacentral:rRNA from 1 species
ACAGGCUUAACACAUGCAAGUCGAGGGGCAGCAUGGUCUUAGCUUGCUGAGGCCGAUGGCGACCGGCGCACGGGUGAGUAACACGUAUCCAACCUGCCGUCUACUCUUGGACAGCCUUCUGAAAGGAAGAUUAAUACAAGAUGGCAUCAUGAGUCCGCAUGUUCACAUGAUUAAAGGUAUUCCGGUAGACGAUGGGGAUGCGUUCCAUUAGAUAGUAGGCGGGGUAACGGCCCACCUAGUCUUCGAUGGAUAGGGGUUCUGAGAGGAAGGUCCCCCACAUUGGAACUGAGACACGGUCCAAACUCCUACGGGAGGCAGCAGUGAGGAAUAUUGGUCAAUGGGCGAGAGCCUGAACCAGCCAAGUAGCGUGAAGGAUGACUGCCCUAUGGGUUGUAAACUUCUUUUAUAAAGGAAUAAAGUCGGGUAUGGAUACCCGUUUGCAUGUACUUUAUGAAUAAGGAUCGGCUAACUCCGUGCCAGCAGCCGCGGUAAUACGGAGGAUCCGAGCGUUAUCCGGAUUUAUUGGGUUUAAAGGGAGCGUAGAUGGAUGUUUAAGUCAGUUGUGAAAGUUUGCGGCUCAACCGUAAAAUUGCAGUUGAUACUGGAUAUCUUGAGUGCAGUUGAGGCAGGCGGAAUUCGUGGUGUAGCGGUGAAAUGCUUAGAUAUCACGAAGAACUCCGAUUGCGAAGGCAGCCUGCUAAGCUGCAACUGACAUUGAGGCUCGAAAGUGUGGGUAUCAAACAGGAUUAGAUACCCUGGUAGUCCACACGGUAAACGAUGAAUACUCGCUGUUUGCGAUAUACUGCAAGCGGCCAAGCGAAAGCGUUAAGUAUUCCACCUGGGGAGUACGCCGGCAACGGUGAAACUCAAAGGAAUUGACGGGGGCCCGCACAAGCGGAGGAACAUGUGGUUUAAUUCGAUGAUACGCGAGGAACCUUACCCGGGCUUAAAUUGCAGAUGAAUUACGGUGAAAGCCGUAAGCCGCAAGGCAUCUGUGAAGGUGCUGCAUGGUUGUCGUCAGCUCGUGCCGUGAGGUGUCGGCUUAAGUGCCAUAACGAGCGCAACCCUUGUUGUCAGUUACUAACAGGUUCCGCUGAGGACUCUGACAAGACUGCCAUCGUAAGAUGUGAGGAAGGUGGGGAUGACGUCAAAUCAGCACGGCCCUUACGUCCGGGGCUACACACGUGUUACAAUGGGGGGUACAGAGGGCCGCUACCACGCGAGUGGAUGCCAAUCCCCAAAACCUCUCUCAGUUCGGACUGGAGUCUGCAACCCGACUCCACGAAGCUGGAUUCGCUAGUAAUCGCGCAUCAGCCACGGCGCGGUGAAUACGUUCCCGGGCCUUGUACACACCGCCCGUCAAGCCAUGGGAGCCGGGGGUACCUGAAGUGCGUAACCGCGAGGAGCGCCCUAGGGUAAAACUGGUGACUGGGGCU